rnacentral:rRNA from 1 species
UGGGGAAUAUUGGACAAUGGGGGCAACCCUGAACGAGCAACGCCGCGUGGAGGAUGACGGCCUUCGGGUUGUAAACUCCUUUUGCGGGGGAUGAUCAUGACCGUACCCCGCGAAUCAGGCUCGGCUAACUCUGUGCCAGCAGCCGCGGUAAGACAGAGGAGCCAAGCGUUGUCCGGAUUGACUGGGCGUAAAGCGCACGCAGGCGGUUCGGUGCGUGGGGUGUGAAAGCGGCAGGCUUAACUUGCCGAGGCCACCUCAUACGGCCGAACUCGAGCCCUGCAGAGGUCCACGGAAUUGCCGGUGUAGUGGUGAAAUGCGUAGAGAUCGGCAGGAACACCCAGGGGGAAACCAGUGGACUGGGCAGGGGCUGACGCUCAGGUGCGAAAGCGUGGGGAGCGAAC